GACGAACGCUGGCGGCGUGCUUAACACAUGCAAGUCGAACGGAAAGGCCCUGCUUUUGUGGGGUGCUCGAGUGGCGAACGGGUGAGUAACACGUGAGUAACCUGCCCUUGACUUUGGGAUAACUUCAGGAAACUGGGGCUAAUACCGGAUAGGAGCUCCUGCUGCAUGGUGGGGGUUGGAAAGUUUCGGCGGUUGGGGAUGGACUCGCGGCUUAUCAGCUUGUUGGUGGGGUAGUGGCUUACCAAGGCUUUGACGGGUAGCCGGCCUGAGAGGGUGACCGGCCGCAUUGGGACUGAGAUACGGCCCAGACUCCUACGGGAGGCAGCAGUGGGGAAUAUUGCAGAAUGGGCCGAAGCCUGAUGCAGCAACGCCGCGUGCGGGAUAACGGCCUUCGGGUUGUAAACCGCUUUCGCCUGUGACGAAGCGUGAGUGACGGUAAUGGGUAAAGAAGCACCGGCUAACUACGUG
rnacentral:rRNA from 1 species